UACGUAGGCAGCAAACGUUGUUCGGAAUUACUGGGCGUAAAGAGUGUGUAGGCGGCUUUGCAAGUUUGGUGUGAAAUCUCCCGGCUUAACUGGGAGGGUGCGCCUAAUACUGCUAGGCUUGAGUACUGGAGAGGAUAGCGGAAUUCCUGGUGUAGCGGUGAAAUGCGUAGAUAUCAGGAGGAACACCGGCGGUGUAGACGGCUAUCUGGACAGUAACUGACGCUGAGACACGAAAGCGUGGGGAGCAAACAGG
rnacentral:rRNA from 1 species